ACCUUUUGCUCUUAUUCCACUCGGUCUCUCUCUUCCCUCUCGCCCAUCUGCAAACAAAUUUCCCUUUCCCUCUUUUUUCCUACUAACAAAUUUCUCACAAAUGUGGGCAGUUUUCUCCACAUAUUUUCACUAACUUUCUCAAUUAGGUAAAUCUGGUUUCUGGGAAGAAUUGCUGGCAUUUUUAGGCAGUUUUCGUCUCAGGAAACGAACCCUUUCGCUCAUCUCGGUCUCUCUCUUCCCUCUCGCUCAUCUCGCUCCUCUCACUCCGUCUCAAUUCCAAAGUUCUUGAUAUUUGCUUACAUUGCUUCACAUGUGUCCAUGUCAAUCUGCUGUGGGAUUCCUAUCUAUGUUUCGGAGUUGCAACAUGGUUGAACAAUGGACCGGAUUUGAACUUCUGCAGAAAGCGCUUUCUGUAUUUAACUUUUCCGAAGCUGGCAACAAUUGAACUAAACUUCUGCUGCCUUUCAAAUUUCUUUAAUUCUAAAGGAGUGUAUAGAUGUCGCAUUCGAUCACUCGUCGCCGGAGUUUGUCCAAUGCGGCCCCUGCAUUAUCAGCAUCUACUGCUCCAGGAGUGAGUGCUCCAUUGAUUGGGGAGCCUACACCCCUUACUGAGGCUACUCCUACGGCAUCCCAGGUGCC